GCCUGGCUGGCUUAGUCAGGAGAGCAUGCGGCUCUUGAUCACGGGGUCAUGAGUUCGAGCCCCAUGCUGGGCG
rnacentral:tRNA from 1 species